UACGAAGGGGGCUAGCGUUGCUCGGAAUCACUGGGCGUAAAGGGUGCGUAAGCGGGUCUUUUAAGUCAGGGGUGAAAUCCUGGAGCUCAACUCCAGAACUGCCUUUGAUACUGAAGAUCUUGAGUUCGGGAGAGGUGAGUGGAACUGCGAGUGUAGAGGUGAAAUUCGUAGAUAUUCGCAAGAACACCAGUGGCGAAGGCGGCUCACUGGCCCGAUACUGACGCUGAGGCACGAAAGCGUGGGGAGCAAACAGGG
rnacentral:rRNA from 1 species